GACGAACGCUGGCGGCGUGCCUAAUACAUGCAAGUUGAGCGCUGAAGGUUGGUACUUGUACCCACUGGAUGAGCAGCGAACGGGUGAGUAACGCGUGGGGAAUCUGCCUUUGAGCGGGGGACAACAUUUGGAAACGAAUGCUAAUACCGCAUAAAAACUUUAAACACAAGUUUUAAGUUUGAAAGAUGCAAUUGCAUCACUCAAAGAUGAUCCCGCGUUGUAUUAGCUAGUUGGUGAGGUAAAGGCUCACCAAGGCGAUGAUACAUAGCCGACCUGAGAGGGUGAUCGGCCACAUUGGGACUGAGACACGGCCCAAACUCCUACGGGAGGCAGCAGGAGGGAAUCUUCGGCAAUGGACGAAAGUCUGACCGAGCAACGCCGCGUGAGUGAAGAAGGUUUUCGGAUCGGAAAACUCUGUUGGUAGAGAAGAACGUUGGUGAGAGUGGAAAGCUCAUCAAGUGACGGUAACUACCCAGAAAGGGACGGCUAACUACGUG
rnacentral:rRNA from 1 species